rnacentral:piRNA from 1 species
CAUUUUUGAUGCUAUCUCAUUCUUC